rnacentral:lncRNA from 1 species
GUAGCCUCUAGGAAGCGCUAGACACAUAUUCCUAUCAGGCGAAGGCCGCCUUUCCUGGCCUCCCGCACAGGCCCGCCAGCGAUUCGUCCUUACAAGGCUAGCCUCCGCAGGCUGCCCUCUGUGUAAAUAAAGCCACAGACUUCCGCCCACAGGUCGCCGCAGGUCCCGCCCGCAGCGCCGGGCCGCGGGGGAGGCGGGAACUGGUGCUACCGCCGCUACGCAGGCCUCGGGAGGCUCGGAGCCCGCCACGCCCCAGCCCUCGCGCAGGGCCGGGGAGCCACGGGGCCAAAAGGAGGAGCAGGUGGAAGAAAUCCAGGCUCAGACCGUCGGAGUCCCCACCCAUGAGCACCCUUCUCCACUGAUCACUCAGAACAUGGUAGGCCCUAGAGAGACAGCAGCCCGACUCUUCCCAGAAACCCUGCAGGAGAUUCCUUCUUCCCAUUUUAUAGAAGGGAGGCUGAGGCUCGGCACGUUUAAAUGGCUUGACCAAGGUCCCACAGGCAAAAAAAUGGUACAGCAAGAUAUUGUAACCCAAUGUCUGGCUGCAAAACCCAGUCUGUCCCCAACCCACCUAUCGUCACCGAGAUUGUAAAACUUCUAACCGGGAAGAAUCAAAUACAUGCACAACGGGUUACAGGUUAACAGACAGAUGGGAGCGGAAAGGGACAUUCCAGCGCUUCCCUGGGCGUGUCGCACAGGGCAACUCCAACCACAGGCGAAUUUUCCUGGGUGACAGUUAUACUCCUUUUUGCAUGAAAAAAUACAGAUCCUUAUUAAAACAA